rnacentral:rRNA from 1 species
CCUACGGGCGGCAGCAGUGGGGAAUAUUGCACAAUGGGCGCAAGCCUGAUGCAGCCAUGCCGCGUGUGUGAAGAAGGCCUUCGGGUUGUAAAGCACUUUCAGCGGGGAGGAAGGCGUUAAGGUUAAUAACCUUGGCGAUUGACGUUACCCGCAGAAGAAGCACCGGCUAACUCCGUGCCAGCAGCCGCGGUAAUACGGAGGGUGCAAGCGUUAAUCGGAAUUACUGGGCGUAAAGCGCACGCAGGCGGUCUGUCAAGUCGGAUGUGAAAUCCCCGGGCUCAACCUGGGAACUGCAUUCGAAACUGGCAGGCUAGAGUCUUGUAGAGGGGGGUAGAAUUCCAGGUGUAGCGGUGAAAUGCGUAGAGAUCUGGAGGAAUACCGGUGGCGAAGGCGGCCCCCUGGACAAAGACUGACGCUCAGGUGCGAAAGCGUGGGGAGCGAACAGGAUUAGAUACCCCGGUAGUC